rnacentral:rRNA from 1 species
UACGAAGGGGGCUAGCGUUGCUCGGAAUCACUGGGCGUAAAGGGCGCGUAGGCGGCGUUUUAAGUCGGGGGUGAAAGCCUGUGGCUCAACCACAGAAUGGCCUUCGAUACUGGGACGCUUGAGUAUGGUAGAGGUUGGUGGAACUGCGAGUGUAGAGGUGAAAUUCGUAGAUAUUCGCAAGAACACCGGUGGCGAAGGCGGCCAACUGGACCAUUACUGACGCUGAGGCGCGAAAGCGUGGGGAGCAAACAGGAUUAGAUACCCUGGUAGUACACGCCGUAAACGAUGAAUGCCAGCUGUUGGGGUGCUUGCACCGCAGUAGCGCAGCUAACGCUUUGAGCAUUCCGCCUGGGGAGUACGGUCGCAAGAUUAAAACUC